CGUAGGGUGCGUAGCGUUAAUCGGAAUUACUGGGCGUAAAGCGUGCGCAGGCGGUUUUGUAAGACAGAUGUGAAAUCCCCGGGCUCAACCUGGGACCUGCAUUUGUGACUGCAAGGCUAGAGUACGGUAGAGGGGGAUGGAAUUCCGCGUGUAGCAGUGAAAUGCGUAGAUAUGCGGAGGAACACCGAUGGCGAAGGCAAUCCCCUGGACCUGUACUGACGCUCAUGCACGAAAGCGUGGGGAGCAAACAGGAUUAGAUACCCUGGUAGUCCACGCCCUAAACGAUGUCAACUGGUUGUUGGGUCUUUACUGACUCAGUAACGAAGCUAACGCGUGAAGUUGACCGCCUGGGGAGUACGGCCGCAAGGUUG
rnacentral:rRNA from 1 species